rnacentral:rRNA from 1 species
CUAGCGACUUCAGAGUUUGAUCCUGGCUCAGGACGAACGCUGGCGGCGUGCUUAACACAUGCAAGUCGAACGGAGUUCCUCGGAUCAAGGCUUCGGCCAAGUGAACUGGAACUUAGUGGCGGACUGGUGAGUAACGCGUGAGGAACCUGCCUUUCAGAGGGGGACAACAGUUGGAAACGACUGCUAAUACCGCAUGACGCAUUCGGGUCGCAUGGCCUGAAUGCCAAAGAUUUUAUCGCUGAAAGAUGGCCUCGCGUCUGAUUAGCUAGUUGGUGAGGUAACGGCCCACCAAGGCGACGAUCAGUAGCCGGACUGAGAGGUUGACCGGCCACAUUGGGACUGAGAUACGGCCCAG